rnacentral:rRNA from 1 species
UCUUGCCUACGGGGGGCAGCAGUGAGGAAUAUUGGUCAAUGGGCGAGAGCCUGAACCAGCCAAGUCGCGUGAGGGAGUACUGCCCUAUGGGUUGUAAACCUCUUUUGUCGGGGAGCAAAAGCCGGACGUGUCCGUCUGUGAGAGUACCCGAAGAAAAAGCAUCGGCUAACUCCGUGCCAGCAGCCGCGGUAAUACGUAGGGAGCAAGCGUUAUCCGGAAUUAUUGGGUGUAAAGGGUGCGUAGACGGGACAGCAAGUUAGUUGUGAAAGCCCUCGGCUUA